GACGAACGCUGGCGGCGUGCCUAAUACAUGCAAGUAGAACGCUGAAGGAGGAGCUUGCUCUUCUGGAUGAGUUGCGAACGGGUGAGUAACGCGUAGGUAACCUGCCUGGUAGCGGGGGAUAACUAUUGGAAACGAUAGCUAAUACCGCAUAAGAGUAGAUGUCGCAUGACAUUUACUUAAAAGGUGCAAUUGCAUCACUACCAGAUGGACCUGCGUUGUAUUAGCUAGUUGGUGGGGUAACGGCUUACCAAGGCGACGAUACAUAGCCGACCUGAGAGGGGGGUCGGCCACACUGGGACGGAGACACGGCCCAGACUCCUACGGGAGGGAGCAGUAGGGAAUCUUCGGCAAUGGACGGAAGUCUUACCGAGCAACGCCGCGUGAGGGAAGAAGGUUUUCGUAUCGUAAAGCUCUGUUGUAAGGGAAGAACGAGUGUUAGAGUGGAAAGUUCACACUGUGACGGUAUCUUACCAGAAAGGGACGGCUAACUACGUG
rnacentral:rRNA from 1 species